CCUACGGGUGGCAGCAGUCGAGAAUCUUUCACAAUGGGGGAAACCCUGAUGGAGCGACGCCGCGUGGAGGAUAAGGUCUUCGGAUUGUAAACUCCUGUCAUGCGUGAACAAGGUUGCCGGGCUAAUAACCCGUGCAACUUGAUGGUAGCGCAAGAGGAAGAGACGGCUAACUCUGUGCCAGCAGCCGCGGUAAUACAGAGGUCUCAAGCGUUGUUCGGAAUCACUGGGCGUAAAGGGUGCGUAGGUUGCGUGGUAAGUCAGAUGUGAAAGCCUGGGGCUCAACCUCAGAAUUGCAUCCGAUACUGCCGUGCUAGAGUACUGAAGAGGUGACUAGAAUUCUAGGUGUAGCAGUGAAAUGCGUAGAUAUCUAGAGGAAUACCAAAGGCGUAGGCAGGUCACUGGGCAGUUACUGACACUGAGGCACGAAGGCCAGGGGAGCAAACGGGAUUAGAUACCCCAGUAGUC
rnacentral:rRNA from 1 species